rnacentral:lncRNA from 1 species
AUCUUGGUGCCUCCUAAAUACAGCAUAAAAAUCGAGCAGAGGAGAUAGACUUUGGAGACAAAACACACCAACUAAAACGUAUCAUCAUGCCCAAACAUAUUACCAGAAACACUGGAAUAAGAUCAACAAUAGGUAUUAGAAAACUUUUGAAACUGUAUCAUAAGAACAACACCCAAAAGCCCAAGGUGUCCCUUUCCUCUCAGCAAUCCCAGGGCAAUCAAGGGAAACUACUUCCUCUUGAUACUCAGGCUGAAAACAGUGGUUCAAAUAAGAUUAAUUCAAACAAUUUUUGAACAGGUUUAUGCUAGCCAUCUUAAACUGUGAUAGCAAUGGAGAGAACCGUACCACUUGAGAGGUCAACGACAUUGUGACACGGUGGUGCCAGCCCCAGUCACUCCUUGCAGCACAUGGUGCCCUCCCUCUCACACCACGCCACUGCUGCACUCUUACCUUACCAGUGGCCACAGCCCUUGCCGGAUUCUGGAAGUUUCAGCAUCAAAAGAAAGCACAGCCCAAACCGCUGUUCACUUCACCUCGCUCUCCCUGCAGACAGCAUAGCACCCCACAGCCAGGUAGUGCCAGUGCUGGAAGCUUCCUGAAAGUGGGCGGCAACAGCGGUGGCACAGCCCAGCCUUGCCUCACAAAGGCCCCACAUGCUGUCCCUGUGCUGUGACUGCCCCGCUGCUGGCAGGUGUUAUCAUGGCUUCUGCAAGCGGCUUGUGCGGGACUUGUGCACAGCUGCUGUGUUCUGCCUCCUGUGAUCACUCGGCAAAGUCCUCCUCUUCUCCUGAUCCCUUACUUAGCAAGGGACAAUCUGUCAUGAAAAUACCAGGAGACAGAAACAUACCUCUGUGCAGUCCCUUCAAUUGUUCACUGCAGACACAAAGGAUAGAGCAAAGUUGCAAACCUAUUGGAGAUCCUGAAGGAGUAUCAUUGCCUAUGACUCCCUCUAGUGAUUCUGCUAUGUGAAAUACAGCCAUCGACAGAUAACAGCCAUAUGAAGUCACCCCGAAUUCUUCACUAGAUACAUUCUUCAAGUCUAGAAUAAAGUUUUUUUCAUAAUGGCA